UGGGAAACAGACGAGGAGGAGGAGCGGCUGGGGGUCGAUGCUCGAAUCCACGGGCUCAGUCAGAAAAUAAACCCUGCUGGUCUCGUUCCCUCCAACAGUCGGUCAUCUGAUUCCCGGUGAAGCAGAUGAGGCUCCUGUUCCCAAAGCACCCCGACGAAGUCGAGCGGGAGCCACCCCCAGUGGGCCCUGGGGAUAUGACGCUCGGCAGAACCUUUUCUAGAGCACCGAGUCACCCUCCGCCACGGCUCACAGAGGGGUGCCGGCAUCCCUAGGUGGGGGCUCUGGACCGGGAAAGCUCCAUGGAGGCACUGAGGUGCCACAAUGCUCUGCACACAAACAGAACACAGAGAAUUCACACCAGGAAUGCAAGAUCAAGUUUCAGAAGGCCUCUUUUCUGAUUCAGUCAAGCUGAUGAAGAAAACAGUUAAUCCCCCAAAGGCAUCACCAGCUAAACUUCAUCAAGAAUAAGUCAUUCACUUAUAAUGAACGACUAAUUACAGGAAGAAAUACGAACUUCAUUUUGGCUAGCAGGAGGAUUUAUGGAAUAUCGUGUAAGUCAAUUUCAAUUUCUUACUGUUACAAUGUGUAUAUACAUAGAAGAAAUGACAGCACAUGAAAAAUAGCCACAAUUAGAACGUGUUGAAACUCAGAAAUUCCAUGUGCAGAAAAAAUAGUGAUCUUCAGAAAUAUUAAAAAUUGCAAGACCUUCAGACAAACCUGAGGACUUGUGCUAAAGAUGAGUAGGCAGGUACAUCUUUAAGUUAGGAUGGUUGAUGUGUAAUCAGUCCUUUUUCUGUUUUUUUU